AAAUCGGCCCUCCUAAGGGCCACCUAAUCAAUUUUUCUUAAAAGAGG
rfam:Glossina austeni unplaced genomic scaffold Scaffold154, whole genome shotgun sequence.